GAUGAAGAACGCAGCGAAAUGCGAUACGUAAUGUGAAUUGCAGAAUUCAGUGAAUCAUCGAACCUUUGAACGCACAUUGCGCCUGCCAGCACUCUGGCAGGCAUGCCUGUUCGAGCGUCAUUUCAACCAUCAAGCCCUAGGCUUGCGUUGGAGCCCUGCGGCUGCCGCAGGCCCCUAAAAGCAGUGGCGGGCUCGCUAUCACACCGAGUGCAGUAGAUUACUCUUCGCUCAGGGCGUGUGGCGGGUUCCAGCCGUGAAACCCCCUACUUCUCAAGGUUGACCUCGGAUCAGGUAGGAAUACCCGCUGAACUUAAGCAUAUCAAUAAGCGGAGGA
rnacentral:misc_RNA from 1 species